AUUGAACGCUGGCGGCAGGCUUAACACAUGCAAGUCGAGCGAGCGGCGGACGGGUGAGUAAUGUCUGGGAAACUGCCUGAUGGAGGGGGAAAACUACUGGAACCGGUAGAUAAUACCGCAUACCAUCAGAUGUGCCCAGAUGGGAUUAGCUAGUAGGUGGGGUAAUGGAUCACUGAGGCGACGAUCCCUAGCUGGUCUGAGAGGAUGACCAGCCACACGUGAACUUGGACACGGUCCAGACUCCUACGGGAGGCAGAAUUGGGGAAUAUUGCACAAUGGGCGCAAGCCUGAUGCAGCCAUGCCGCGUGGGUGAAGAAGGCCUUCGGGUUGUAAAGCACUUGCAGCGAGGAGGCGUUACUCGCAGAAGAAGCACCGGCUAACUCCGUGCCAGCAGCCGCGGUAAUAC
rnacentral:rRNA from 1 species